CGCCCAUCUGCUGGCGCUUUCGUUGCGGUGCAUGCGCAGAUUACCCGGAAGUGUCUCGUCAGGGCACCGCCAUUUUUGCUCCCGGUUCGCCGACCCGGCUCCAGCGUGUCCGAGACCUACGAUUUCCUCUUCAAGUUCUUGGUGAUCGGCAGCACCGACAAGUCCUGCCUGCUGCACCACUUAAGCGAGAGCAAGUGUAGGAAAUUCUGGGAAUUUUGGGGGCACUUGGGAAUUCCAGGGGGUUGGGGGAUUUUGUGGAUUUUUGUGGGAUUUUGGGGGGAUAUUUUUUAAUAUUUCUGGGCAUUUUAAUGGUUUGAGGGUUUUGGUGUUUGUUUUUUUUUAAUAUUCUGGUUGGUUUUUGUUGGUGUUUGGGGGAAUUUUUCGAGAAUUUUUGGGAAUUCUGGAAAUUAUGGGUAGUUCGGAAUUUUUGGAAAUAUUACUGGAAUUUUUGGAGGCAUUUUCAGGAUCUUUUUCUUUUUUGAGACAUUUUGCAGCUUUUUCCAGAAUUUUUUAAUUAGAAUUUUGCUUUUUAAUGACAUUUUUGUGGGAUUUUUACGAUUUUUGGGUAAUUCUGUGUCUCUCUGCGCUCUCCCUGAUCCGGCAGCAUUUUGGGGCAUUUUCUGUCACUUUAGGGUCAUUUUCGGUCACUUCUGGGCCAUUUUUGGCCACUUUUGUGGCGUUUUCUGUCAUACUGGGUAAUUUUGGGCAUCUUUCUGCCAUUUUAGGGACACUUGGGGCAAUUUUUGUUCACUUUUUGGGCCAUUUCAUGUCAUUUUGAGCCAAAUUUUUUAAUUUUGGGGGAAUUUCUUGUCAGUUUUCAGUCAUUUUUGGGCCAUUUUGUGGCCGUUUUCUGUCACUUUUUGGGUAUUUUUUGGACUCUUUAGGGGCAUUUUGGGUGGCUUUUCACCCAUUUUUGCCUGUUUCAGUCCCAGUCUCAGUCUCAGUCUCAGCACGGUUCCGGUCCCAGUGCCGGUACCGGUGCCGCUCUUGGUCCCGCAGUGCUCCCAGUGCCAGUUUCAGUCUCAGUCCCAGUCCCUGGGCGGUGCCAGUCUUGGUGCUGGUUCCGGUGCCGGUCUUGGUCUCAGUCUUGGUCCCAGUGCCAGUUCUGGUGCUGGUUACGGUCUCGGUCCUAGUCCUGGUGCCAGUGCAGUGCCGGUCUCUGUUGUGGUGUCGGUGCUGGUCCCAGUCUUGGUCUCGGUGCCGGUCCCAGAGCGGCGCCGCUCUCAGUGCCAGUCUCAGAUCCGGUGUCGGUCUCAGUCUUGGUGCUGGUGCUGGUUCUGGUGCUGAUCGUGGUCUUGGUCUCAGUCCCGGUCCCAGAGAUUUUAGGCCACUUUGGGUGAUUUUAGGCCAAACUGCACAGGGUUAGGGUGGAUUUUAGGCACCUUAGGAUGAUUUUAGGCCAAAUCUGGUGGGGUUUAGUCCCAUUUGGGUGAUAAUUGGAUAACCUGGGUUUCAAGGUGGAUUUUAGAUCCUUUUGGAUGAUUUGAGGCCCAUUUGAGUGGGGUUUAGAACUGUUUGGGUGAUUUUAGCUCAAAUCUUUUGGGGUUUAGGGUGGACUUUAGGUCCCUUUAGGUGAUUUUAAGCCAAACCAGGGCUUUUAGUGUUGAUUUUACACCGAUUUGUGAGAUUUAAGAGUGAUUUGAGGCCAUUUUGUGUGGAUUUUAAACCAGUUUGGUCAAUUUUAGGCUCCUUUGCUUGGAAUUUUAUACGCCUUUGGCUGAUUUUAACCCCAUUUGUAUGAUAUGAGGCCAAACCAUGUGGAUUAAAGGUGGAUUUUAGGCCCCUUUCCGUGAUUUUAUGUCACUUUGUAGAGAUUUUCGGCCUCUUUGGGUGAUCUGAGGCCAUAUCUCAUAGGAUUUAGGAUGGAUUUUAGGCACCUUUGGACAAUUUUAAGCCCAUUUUGGGUGAUGUUAAGCCGAAGCGAGCUCUUUUAUGACCGUGUGUGCCCUUGACCCCGCCCCUUUCCCCUCACAGUUCCCGCCCUUUCCUUGACCCCGCCCCCACAGUUUGGGGUUGGGAACGGGGGAGGAGGAGGAGGGAGGGAGGAAGAGGCGGAGCGGCAGCAGGGAGGAGGAGGAGAAGGGCAGAGGAGGCAGAGGCGGCUCCAGCGCUCCCUGAACCUGCAGCACGGCCCGGGUGUUAGGAACGGAAAAAAACCAAACCAAAACAAAAAAACCCACAAACAAACAAACAAAAAAACCCCAAAAAAACCCCACCCCACAACUGACCCUCUCCUGGCUAGAGUAAUCCCCCACACCCCAGCCAAUCUGAGUAGGGAGAGCUGCCCUGAAGGAAAGUUGCCUGGCAACUUUUCCCUACCUAAUUGAAAUGUGAAAAGAAGCUGCCCACACCUAGAUAGCCCUAUUGUCCUUUAUAACUACCUCAUUCAGAAGGAGUAACCUCGGCUACCACCAGGACAAAUGCAUAUGCAUGUGUAUAUGCAAAUAAAACCACCCUUGUGGAUCCUGGGAGGAUUUUUUUAGGGAAACUGACCCCAAAACAAGAAGCUAGAGGCGUCAGAGGAGAAUUAGAUCGUGCCCUGGCCGAGCACGAAGUGGAUGCACCCCCUGACCUGGUUUGAAGAUUCACCAUGACCUUGAGGAGUUCGGAUGGAAUGGGAACCAGCCAGCUGAAGCAACUCAGGCAGAGAAAGGGAAAGUCUCGAAGUUAGUCCCUGAGGGCAGGGAGCUGGCCUCGCCCAAUUCUGCAGCAGGCUGGUCAUUCACUCUGCCUCCUGCUAGUGGACUGGAGAGAGCUUCUAACUGUUCCUGUAGAGACAAGGACCUGGCAUUUACUGCUGGCAGCUGAGUGAAGACCUGCAGCAGCACCUGCUCCAUUGGAUCCCCACAGCAGCGUAAAGGACUUUUAUCGGACUCUGCAAGCCUGCUGAUGACUUUAAUAAAGAGCUGAAUAUUAAUAAAG